CAGGAAUGCUGCAUCACCUCCGUAGAAGCUCUUUACUCCCAAAAAGGAGGCAACACUUCCACUGCGAUUCACCAGGCCACCACCGAUCUCUCAUUGACACAGCCAGCUGACACUUUUCCGCGACCUGAUUCCCAAUCUGUUUCUGCUUUCAAGAAGAGGAAAACAACUUCUGCCCAAACACUCUACUCCACCAAAGAAGAUGCUACCCCAAAGAGCCUCGAUGCUACUGAGCCAGCGAAACUCAAGAAUCAGCCUACUGCCGCGUUCAAGAAGAGGAAACCAGCGUCUGUACGAAGCCAGUCCUCUAAAGACGAUGAUGCCCCCAUCGAUCUGCUACUGAUAUAAAUGGCUAGAUUGCACGGUAAGCAGCAUCGUGCAUCCACAAAACCUAAUCGGUCUAUAAACGGCUAGAUUGCAGUAAUAUAUUGCUUAUUCUUUCUUUAUGGAAAACAAUGCUUUUAUUUAGUACAGGUGGUCUUAUGAGUCUCCAACGUGAUGUCCCAAGUGGAGACACGAUUUAUAACUAGCCAGCUCUGAAUUCUCACGGUUGGAGUACAAAUCGGAGAGGAGAUUAUAAUUGCAGCUGGUUCAUUUUGAGGGGAAGGACGGGAUGCCUGAAACUCUAGUACUCAUUUAUCAUUUUGUGUUCAAAGUUGUGUAUUCAAAACAGUAUCGGUAUAGAUGGUUUGGCCCUAAACCAUUUAUUCAAUCACUUUGGUAUAAUCCCGAUUCAUAUUGAUUAUUGAACUACAAUUUUUCAUUGUGUUAAAAUCA
rnacentral:lncRNA from 1 species